rnacentral:lncRNA from 1 species
GAGCUGAUCAUGCGUGGAGAAAAUGACAAAUUUUAAAUAGAUCCAGCCCGAAGUCCAGGUUCAGGCCAUGAUCAACUCUAGAUGGAACAAUAUAUCCAAGUCGGUCGCAUUCAAGAGCAUGUCUAACAUCACAAGCCAGUGUUGCCCUCUUCCAUUCAGACGUUGAAAUUAGGAAAAUGAUAUAAUUAAAUAGAAGAAGGAAAAAGACACCAAGAGAAUGGACCGUUUUAUUUCCGACCCACGUGCACAUCAACCUUCUCCGACCCUCAGCUUGAAAGGGGCAAAGCUUGGGGCACGUUGGGCCGAUGAAGUCCAU